AACCUCCGCAAUGUGAGAAAUCGCGACGGGGGGAUCCCAAGUGCCAUUCUUAACGGGAUGGCUUUUCAUUAGUGUAAAGAGCUUUUGGAAUAAGGGCUGGGCAAGACCGGUGCCAGCCGCCGCGGUAACACCGGCAGCUCUAGUGGUAGCAGUUUUUAUUGGGCCUAAAGCGUCCGUAGCCGGUUUAAUAAGUCUCUGGUGAAAUCCUGUAGCUUAACUGUGGGAAUUGCUGGAGAUACUAUUAGACUUGAGACCGGGAGAGGUUAGCGGUACUCCCAGGGUGGAGGUGAAAUUCUGUAAUCCUGGGAGGACCACCUGUGGCGAAGGCGGCUAACUGGAACGAACCUGACGGUGAGGGACGAAAGCUAGGGGCGCGAACCGGAUUAGAUACCCGGGUAGUCCUAGCCGUAAACGAUGCGGACUUGGUGUUGGGAUGGCUUUGAGCCGCUCCGGUGCCGAAGGGAAGCUGUUAAGUCCGCCGCCUGGGAAGUACGGUCGCAAGACUGAAACUUAAAGGAAUU
rnacentral:rRNA from 1 species